GAUGAACGCUGGCGGCGUGCCUAAUACAUGCAAGUCGAGCGAACAGACGAGGAGCUUGCUCCUCUGACGUUAGCGGCGGACGGGUGAGUAACACGUGGAUAACCUACCUAUAAGACUGGGAUAACUUCGGGAAACCGGAGCUAAUACCGGAUAAUAUAUUGAACCGCAUGGUUCAAUAGUGAAAGACGGUUUUGCUGUCACUUAUAGAUGGAUCCGCGCCGCAUUAGCUAGUUGGUAAGGUAACGGCUUACCAAGGCAACGAUGCGUAGCCGACCUGAGAGGGUGAUCGGCCACACUGGAACUGAGACACGGUCCAGACUCCUACGGGAGGCAGCAGUAGGGAAUCUUCCGCAAUGGGCGAAAGCUUGACGGAGCAACGCCGCGUGAGUGAUGAAGGUCUUCGGAUCGUAAAACUCUGUUAUUAGGGAAGAACAAAUGUGUAAGUAACUAUGCACGUCUUGACCGUACCUAAUCAGAAAGCCACGGCUAACUACGU
rnacentral:rRNA from 1 species